UUGAACGCUGGCGGCAUGCCUUACACAUGCAAGUCGAACGGCAGCACGGACUUCGGUCUGGUGGCGAGUGGCGAACGGGUGAGUAAUGUAUCGGAACGUACCUUUCAGUGGGGGAUAACGUAGCGAAAGUUACGCUAAUACCGCAUAUUCUGUGAGCAGGAAAGCAGGGGAUCGCAAGACCUUGCGCUGAUUGAGCGGCCGAUAUCAGAUUAGCUAGUUGGUGAGGUAAAGGCUCACCAAGGUGACGAUCUGUAGCGGGUCUGAGAGGAUGAUCCGCCACACUGGAACUGAGACACGGUCCAGACUCCUACGGGAGGCAGCAGUGGGGAAUUUUGGACAAUGGGGGCAACCCUGAUCCAGCCAUGCCGCGUGAGUGAAGAAGGCCUUCGGGUUGUAAAGCUCUUUCGGCCGGGAAGAAAUCGCAUGGGCUAAUACCCUGUGCGGAUGACGGUACCGGCAUAAGAAGCACCGGCUAACUACGUGCCAGCAGCCGCGGUAAUACGUAGGGUGCGAGCGUUAAUCGGAAUUACUGGGCGUAAAGCGUGCGCAGGCGGUUUUUUAAGACAGGCGUGAAAUCCCCGGGCUCAACCUGGGAACUGCGCUUGUGACUGGAAGGGUAGAGUAUGGCAGAGGGGGGUGGAAUUCCACGUGUAGCAGUGAAAUGCGUAGAGAUGUGGAGGAACACCAAUGGCGAAGGCAGCCCCCUGGGCCAAUACUGACGCUCAUGCACGAAAGCGUGGGUAGCAAACAGGAUUAGAUACCCUGGUAGUCCACGCCCUAAACGAUGUCAACUAGGUGUUGGGUGGGUAAAACCAUUUAGUACCGGAGCUAACGCGUGAAGUUGACCGCCUGGGGAGUACGGCCGCAAGGUUAAAACUCAAAGGAAUUGACGGGGACCCGCACAAGCGGUGGAUGAUGUGAU
rnacentral:rRNA from 1 species